rnacentral:rRNA from 1 species
CCUACGGGAGGCAGCAGUAGGGAAUAUUGCUCAAUGGGGGAAACCCUGAAGCAGCAACGCCGCGUGGAGGAUGAAGGUUUUCGGAUUGUAAACUCCUUUUGUUAGAGAAGAUAAUGACGGUAUCUAACGAAUAAGCACCGGCUAACUCCGUGCCAGCAGCCGCGGUAAUACGGAGGGUGCAAGCGUUACUCGGAAUCACUGGGCGUAAAGAGCGCGGAGGCGGGAUAGCCAGUCAGAUGUGAAAUCCUAUGGCUUAACCAUAGAACUGCAUUUGAAACUGUUAUUCUAGAGUAUGGGAGAGGUAGGUGGAAUUCUUGGUGUAGGGGUAAAAUCCGUAGAGAUCAAGAGGAAUACUCAUUGCGAAGGCGACCUGCUAGAACAUAACUGACGCUGAUGCGCGAAAGCGUGGGGAGCGAACAGGAUUAGAUACCCUUGUAGUC